rnacentral:snoRNA from 1 species
ACCUGAGACAAUCUGAGUACCAAAAUAAUGAAGUGUACAUACAAGUAAACUGCACUAGACUGUAAAUUUGGAACAGACCUCUUUCUUAAUGUCUAAUUCCUUUGUCUUAAGAUUUGGUAUAGGCUGG